rnacentral:lncRNA from 1 species
CGAGCAUUGAAAAUAGCACAACUGGUCUUGUGCCACUCAGCAUCAUCGGGAGUGCCAAAAAACUUGUUCAACACUUUGAGCAUGUCUUCUGGCUGAGCUUCCUCAAAUUUGCAAUUGAACUCAUUGUUUAUGGCUGCCCACAUGAUACAACGCAUUGUGGUGCGAUCGUUGAGCUACUUCAAGUAAGUGUCUCGAGCCACACCACGAGC